CCAGGUCUGGAACCAGUUGAAAACACCAGAGCUACUUUACACCAUCUAUCUCCAGGUCUGGAACCAGUUGAAAACACCAGAGCUACUUUACACUAUCUAUCUCCAGGUCUGGAACCAGUUGAAAACACCAGAUCUACUUUACACCAUCUAUCUCCAGGUCUGGAAACAGUUGAAACCACCAGAGCUACUUUACACUAUCUAUCUCCAGGUCUGGAACCAGUUGUUCCAAAACACCAUCUAUCUCCAGGUCUGGAACCAGUAACCAUCAAUCCAUCCAUAGUGGAAAGCAUCAGAUGCGAAGUGAACAUGAUUAUGGAGCUUCCUCUAGUACUAUACAGUCAGCAGUGGUUCACCAUUGACCUCUACAGUAAUGUCUGA
rnacentral:lncRNA from 1 species